GACGAACGCUGGCGGCGUGCCUAAUACAUGCAAGUCGAGCGGACUUUCAAGAAGCUUGCUUUUUGAAAGUUAGCGGCGGACGGGUGAGUAACACGUGGGCAACCUGCCUGUAAGACGGGGAUAACUCCGGGAAACCGGGGAUAAUACCGGAUAAUAUCUUUCUUCGCAUGAAGGAAGGUUGAAAGGCGGCGCAAGCUGCCGCUUGCAGAUGGGCCCGCGGCGCAUUAGCUAGUUGGUGAGGUAACGGCUCACCAAGGCGACGAUGCGUAGCCGACCUGAGGGGGUGAACGGCCACGCUGGGACUCAAACACGGCCCAGACUCCUACGGGAGGCAGCAGUAGGGAAUCUUCCGCAAUGGACGAAAGUCUGACGGAGCAACGCCGCGUGAGCGAAGAAGGUCUUCGGAUCGUAAAGCUCUGUUGUCAGGGAAGAACAAGUACCGUUCGAAUAGGGCGGUACCUUGACGGUACCUGACCAGAAAGCCACGGCUAACUACGUGCCAGCCGCCGCGGUAA
rnacentral:rRNA from 1 species